GACAGAGGAGCCAAGCGUUGUCCGGAUUGACUGGGCGUAAAGCGCACGCAGGCGGACGCGCGCGUGGGGUGUGAAAUCUGGCCGCUUAACGGCCAGGCGCCAUCCCAUACGGCGUGUCUGGAGUGAUGCAGAGGUCGGUGGAAUUGCCGGUGUAGUGGUGAAAUGCGUAGAUAUCGGAAGGAACACCAGUGGCGAAAGCGGCUUCCUGGUCCAGCACCGACGUUCAGGCACGAAAGCGUGGGGAGCAAACAGG
rnacentral:rRNA from 1 species